rnacentral:lncRNA from 1 species
CAGACAUACCUCAGAGAUAUUGCAGGCUGGGUUCCAGAACACUACAAUAAAGUGAAUAUCGCUGUAAAACGAAUCACAUGAAUUUUUUGUUUCCCAGUGCAUUAUCAAAAGUCAGAAGCUGUUGGACUCAGACGUGGAGUACAAGUGAACCACAUAAGAGGAAAAUAUCGGGCUACGUUGAAAGAGGCAUCUCCAAGUACACAGAAAUGAGGACAUGUCUUGCAGGUGCAAAAAGUCCUCUUGCCUUCAUAAAGCUAUUUUUCUGAAGACAUUUUUCAUCAUUUUCCCUGGAGGGGAUAUGAGAGCUGUCCACUAAGAAUCUGCAGCCUCUUUUGGGGGUCUUCCACGGAUUCACUGUGACCAAGGAAACAAGCUGUUACCUAGCAACACGGCCCUUCAGGAGCUUCAGAAGAAGAAGUGAGAUUUUCCUGUAACAGUAUGAAGAAUAACUGGUUGGGAAACAAGACACAAACUGAGAAAAAUUCCAUGGAUUUACUGUAUGAAGAAGUGAAAUAAAAUAGCUGAGUUAGUUUUGGGCAAUGUUUCCACUCUUCCGGGAAGAAUGAAGUACAUAUGCAACAAAUCUCUCUUCAGAAGUCUGGAAAAGCAGAAAGAGAAGAAUGAAGAAAUGUCCACAAAACUGCUCCUAUCCUUUACACCACAUAGGACCAAACUCUUACCUUUCAUCAGUUUUCAGUUUGUACAUUAAUGUAUCCUGGUGAAGUUCCUCAACCACUUCUGCAACAUUCAAUUUUAAUUUAUAUUUGCCCACAUCAUUUCAUUUGUGAUUUGGACACAUGCAGGCUACUGAAUAUAAUGGAUACAAAUCUCUCACUGAUUCCCUUGAGCUAUUUCAUAGUUCUGCUUUCACAGGCAGGAGACAGUGAAGAAAUAAUGAUUCAGUUAUUUCUUAAAGAUUUCACAAUUCUACAUUCAAUAAAGAAUAUGUGAAUUCC